CCUACGGGUGGCUGCAGUGAGGAAUAUUGGUCAAUGGGCGUAAGCCUGAACCAGCCAAGUCGCGUGAGGGAUGAAGGUUCUAUGGAUCGUAAACCUCUUUUAUAAGGGAAUAAAGUGCGGGACGUGUCCCGUUUCGUAUGUACCUUAUGAAUAAGGAUCGGCUAACUCCGUGCCAGCAGCCGCGGUAAUACGGAGGAUGCGAGCGUUAUCCGGAUUUAUUGGGUUUAAAGGGUGCGUAGGCGGCCUGUUAAGUCAGCGGUGAAAUUGUGGGGGUCAACCAUAUCAGUGCCGUUGAAACUGGUAGGCUUGAGUAUGUGUGAGGCAGGCGGAAUGCGUGGUGUAGCGGUGAAAUGCUUAGAUAUCACGCAGAACCCCGAUUGCGAAGGCAGCCUGCC
rnacentral:rRNA from 1 species